rnacentral:rRNA from 1 species
UACGGGGGGGGUAAGCGUUGUUCGGAAUUACUGGGCGUAAAGGGCUCGUAGGCGGCCAACUAAGUCAGACGUGAAAUCCCUCAGCUUAACUGGGGAACUGCGUCUGAUACUGGAUGGCUUGGAUCCGGGAGAGGGAUGCGGAAUUCCAGGUGUAGCGGUGAAAUGCGUAGAUAUCUGGAGGAACACCGGUGGCGAAGGCGGCAUCCUGGACCGGUAUUGACGCUGAGGCGCGAAAGCUAGGGGAGCAAACAGG